AUGGUAGAAUGCUUCAAUAAGGUGCUCAAGGGUGUACGUGCAUUACCCGUGACGGCAAUAGUUCAAUACACAUUUGACAAGUUGAAUGAAUACUUUUUAAAGCACUCAAUGGAGACUGAUAAGCAGAUUGCUGGUGAGAACAAGGAUAAGCACAAGUACAAUUUCCCACCAAAGGUUGAAGAAUGGUUGGAAUUUCAAUCACGAAAGGCAGACUCCAAAGAAGCUGUACUAUAUGACGACAACGAGUGGAAGUAUGAGGUGAAAGAGCCCGGAGGAACCACAAACGAUGGCCGCCAACACGGAGGCCGGGCUUUCAAGGUCUCCCUAACACGGUGUGAUUGCAGCUGCAUGAGGCCGUCUUUGCUUCAUCUCCCAUGCUCGCACUUGUUAAAUGCAUCCCGGGUUAGGAAUGUGGACGUCAAUCACCCUCUUACCGUGAGGGAGUCCGAGUUCUCAAUCAUGACGGUAAAGAAUACAUGGACUCCACGGUUCCAGCCAUACUUGGACCAAUCACAAUGGCCGGAGUAUCAUGGAGUUCAACUAUGGCCGGACCCG
rnacentral:rRNA from 1 species